UGCUCUCGCAUUCGAUUAGAGUUUGAUCCUGGCUCAGGACGAUCGCUCGCGGCGUGCUUAAUACAUGCAAGUCAUAGGGUUUACUUCCCUUCGGGGGAGUAGGCACUGGCGCACGGGUGAGUAACACGUAAGUCAUCUGCCCUUGGGUCUGGCAUAACAUCGGGAAACCGGUGCUAAUUCCAGAUGAUAUCGAAAGAUCAAAGUUCCGACGCCCAAGGAUGAGCUUGCGUCUGAUUAGCUUGUUGGCGGGGUAAUGGCCCACCAAGGCUACGAUCAGUAGCCGGUCUGAGAGGAUGAUCGGCCACAUUGGGACUGAGACACGGCCCAGACUCCUACGGGAGGCAGCAGUAAGGAAUAUUGCGCAAUGGACGAAAGUCUGACGCAGCAACGCCGCGUGCAGGAUGAAGGCCCUUCGGGUCGUAAACUGCUGUAGCAGGGACUAAUGACCACCUCGGGUGGGAGUGAAGGUACCCUGAAAGUAAGCUCCGGCUAACUACGUGCCAGCAGCCGCGGUAAUACGUAGGAGCAAGCGUUGUCCGGAUUCACUGGGUGUAAAGGGUGCGCAGGCGGACUUGUAAGUCAGAGGUGAAAUCUUACGCUUACCGUGAAACUGCCUUUGAUACUGCAGGUCUUGAGUUUGGGAGAGGUUGAUGGAAUUCCAGGUGUAGCGUGAAAUGCGUAAAUAUCUGGGAAGAAC
rnacentral:rRNA from 1 species